AAUACCAGCUGUGAACUUGGGAAGUGAUGCUCAUUCCUCUCAAGGACGCACAGAACAGAGUAGUGUAAACCAGCCGUCACAGAGCAUGUUGAGUCCGUCUGAUUCGAAUAUGAUGGUUGUGAGGAAACAGACACCGUCGGAAGCGCUUGUCAUAGUCCCGAUUCAGGUUUUUGUGCCGGCAUCCCAAACAACUACUGAGACA